UGGACAGAUUAUCGUAUUCGACUGUAUUCACGGCGUAAAACUGGGGAUUACACUGUUUUUAAACGGAAAGUGAAUCAAUUAACAUAAUAGACUCCU
rfam:Nicotiana attenuata strain TT chromosome 6, whole genome shotgun sequence.